UAAAGGGUGCGUAGGCGGCCUGUUAAGUCAGGGGUGAAAGACGGUAGCUCAACUAUCGCAGUGCCCUUGAUACUGAUGGGCUUGAAUUGACUAGAGGUAGGCGGAAUGUGACAAGUAGCGGUGAAAUGCAUAGAUAUGUCACAGAACACCGAUUGCGAAGGCAGCUUACUAUGGUCUUAUUGACGCUGAGGCACGAAAGCGUGGGGAUCAAACAGGAUUAGAUCCCCAGU
rnacentral:rRNA from 1 species